GCUCGUAGUUGGAGUUAUAGUGUGUCCUUUUUUGAGAUUGCAUGGUCUUCGGAUCGUGUAGUCUCGCUUGAGGCUCACUGUAUCUUUUGCUGUUACGUUUCACAUGGCUUCACUGUUGUGUGGGAUUGUACAGCGCAUUACUGUGAAAAAAUUAGAGUGUUCCAAGCAGAUGUAUAUCUGAAUAGUUCAGCAUGGAAUAAUAGAAUAGGGGAGAUUGCCCUAUUGUUGGUUUUGGGGUGAUUUCUGAUGAUGAAUAGGGACAGUUGGGGGCAUUAGUAUUUAAUUGUCAGAGGUGAAAUUCGAGGAUUUAUGAAAGACUAACUUCUGCGAAGGCAUUUGCCAAGGAUGUUUUCAUUGAUCAAGAACGAAAGUUAGGGGAUCGAAGACGAUCAGAUACCGUCGUAGUCUUAACCAUAAACGAUGCCGACUAGGGCUGGGACUUUCGUAGUUCCGGACCUUUAGAGAAAUCGCAAGUUUUUGGGUUCUGGGGGGAGUAUGGUCGCAAGGCUGAAACUUAAAGGAAUUGACGGAAGGGCACCACCAGAAGUGGAGCCUGCGGCUUAAUUUGACUCAACACGGGGAAACUCACCAGGUCCAGACAUAGAGAGGAUUGACAGAUUGAGAGCUCUUUCUCGAUCCUAUGGAAAGUGGUGCAUGGCCGUUCUUAGUUGGUGGAGUGAUUUGUCUGGUUAAUUCCGUUAACGAACGAGACCUCAAGAGGGUGUUCAGAGCUUCCUUAUCUUUUUAAGGAUGUCUUUGCGCCCUCGACUAUCGGUUCUUAAGCCGAAGGAAGGCUGAGGCAAUAACAGGUCUGUGAUGCCCUUAGAUGUUCUGGGCUGCACGCGCGCUACACU
rnacentral:rRNA from 1 species